rnacentral:rRNA from 1 species
GACCGUUUCACUACGGAAGGGCUGUAUUUAUUGGAUACCAAAACCAUCCUUCCCUCGGGAAGUUUUGUUUGAUGAUUCACAAUAACUGAUCGGAUCGCCACUGUGGUGGCGACAGGUCAUUCAACAUUCUGCCCUAUCAGCUUUCGAUGGUUGUGUAGUGGACAACCAUGGCCAUAACGGGUAACGGAGAAUCAGGGUUCGAUUCCGGAGAAGGAGCUUGAGAAUUGGCUACUACAUCUAAGGAAGGCAGCAGGCGCGCAAAUUACCCAAUCCCGAUUCGGGGAGGUAGUGACAAAAAAUAACAAUACCGGGCCUUUUUGGGCUUGGUAAUUGGAAUGAGGGAGAGUUAAACGGACCAUCGAGUAUCCAUUGGAGGGCAAGUCUGGUGCCAGCAGCUGCGGUAAUACCAGCUCCAAUAGCGUAUAUUAAAGUUGUUGCAGUUAAAAAGCUCGUAGUUGGACUUGUGUGCGCUGUCCGCGGGUGGCCUGCGCCCAAAAGGGCGUUUCGGUUCGGCCCCGGUGGCGCCUUGAAAUCUGCAGCUGGGGGGACGUUGGCCUUAACUGGUCGGCGACCGCACGCCGGCUGCUCGGUUACUGUGAGAAAAUUAGAGUGUUCAAGGCAGGCAUUGGGUGCAAUUGAAUACAUUAGCAUGGAAUAAUAAAAUAUGGCUCCUGCCGUAUUUUGUUGGUUUUGACUGGUGGGAGUAAUGAUUGAUAGGGACGGUUGGGGGUGCUAGUAUCGAGCGGCCAGAGGUGAAAUUCAUGGAUUCGCUCAAGACUAACUUAUGCGAAAGCAUUCGCCAAGGACGUCCUCUUUAAUCAAGAACGAAAGUUGGGGGAUCGAAGACGAUCAGAUACCGUCGUAGUCUCAACCAUAAACUAUGUCGACUUGGGAUCGGCGGUAGUUUUUUCAUUAAGACACUGUCGGGACCACGGGAGAAAUCAAAGUGUCUGGACUCUGGGGGAAGUAUGGUCGCAAGGCUGAAACUUGAAGGAAUUGACGGAAGGGCACCACCAGGAGUGGAGCCUGCGGCUUAAUUUGACUCAACACGGGGAAACUUACCAGGUCCAGAGAUGUAGAGGAUUGACAGAUUGAAGCUCUUUCUUGAUCACUUCGGUGGUGGUGCAUGGCCGUUCUUAGUUGGUGGAGUGAUUUGUCUGGUUAAUUCCGUUAACGAACGAGACCUCAGCCUGCUAGUGUAGUCGGCUGGAUU